UUUAUAGAGUCCAAAAGCAGAUUCUUGCUUUAUGAUGGACUGAAAGCAAUGGAAGGUCCCACGGUAGAGAGGUUUCUCUACAUUUUGAACUUGUAGACGAACCUUAACGGUGUCAAAGGGGUGUCCCACCAGCACUCCGGCAGCACCGCCGACGCAUCCCGCGAGGAAAUCCAAAGCCAUAGCUCAGCGCUCAGCGCCCUCCGCUCCCACCGGCGGGGCCCGGCCCUCUGCGCGCU
rnacentral:lncRNA from 1 species